UACUAUGAUUAACAGACCACUAUUUCGGGAGCACUAAACUAUCUUGUCCCCCUUUCAGGGACCAAUACAUUUUUAUAAAUCUUCUGAUGCAAAAAAAUCUUGUUCUGAUGCAAAAAAAAAGGGUGCUAAUUUUCAGUAAAAAACAAAAAGCUGGCAUUAUUUUAUCAGCUGAGGGCAUUUUCAUUGCCAUAACAACGUGAGCUAAUCAACAAGUAGGCCUACAACAUGUUCUAGAACAGUGAUUCUCAAUAACUUACUGUCAUUCCCUCCCUAGGUGCCCUCCCUGAAUUGAAAUAGCCUGCUAUUGAGAACCUGCUAAUAUUUAUUUAUUUAGAUUAAUAAAAUUAGCGGAGAUAACAUCUGCAACAACUUAAAACUAUUUCCAACUUCAGUUUAUUAACUCAAUUUGUAACAUUUAAACAAGACUGCUAAGUCUGUGUGAAUCUCAAAACAGAGAAACAAGAGCAAAUGAUUCACUGGGGUUUGCAUUUAAUUUAAAAUAUUUUUAAACAGUAAACAUUGGUCACUUGUCAGCUUCAUCAGCUUAUUCCCUUUCAAAAAAAAAAAAAUAUGUUCAUCUUUCAAGCAUGAAUAAAGACACCAAGUCCCUCUGUCAUGACUCUGUAAGAUCAAAAUUUCCCGUCUGCCGCUCGCGCCCCCCGACACCUUUUAUCAGCUGAGGGCGUUUCCAUGAGUCUCAUAGUAUUAGAACAUGUGGUACUUGUUGAUUAGCUCAGUUGUUCUGGCAAUGAACAUGCCCUCAGCUGAUAAAAUAAUGCCAGUGUUUUUUUUUUACUGAAAAUUAGCACCCAUGUCAACUUUUUCUGCUCCUUGCACCUUAUCAUGCUUAUCAUGCUACGCAGCAUUACAAGCCUCUGCCGACUAAACCAUGAAGCAAUUCAAGAAGAGGCAUACAUAGAAUCGCCUUGUGGUCAA